GAUGAAGAACGCAGCGAAAUGCGAUAAGUAAUGCGAAUUGCAGAAUUUCCGUGAGUCAUCGAAUCUUUGAACGCACAUUGCGCCCAUUAGUAUUCUAGUGGGCAUGCCUGUUCGAGCGUCAUUUCAACCCUUAAGCCUCUGUUGCUUAGCGUUGGGAGCCUACCUACCCGGUAGAUCCUCAAAGUUAGCUGGCAGGGUCGAGGUUCGCCCUAAGCGUAGUAGUUCUUUCUCGCUUCUGCGGCUGCCUAGGCCAUCGCCACAAGCCUUUUAAACUUCAAUGGUUGACCUCGGAUCAGGUAGGAAUACCCGCUGAACUUAAGCAUAUCAAUAAGCGGAGGA
rnacentral:misc_RNA from 1 species